rnacentral:rRNA from 1 species
AUUGAACGCUGGCGGCAUGCUUUACACAUGCAAGUCGAACGGUAACAGGCCGCAAGGUGCUGACGAGUGGCGAACGGGUGAGUAAUGCAUCGGAACGUGCCCAGUCGUGGGGGAUAACUACUCGAAAGAGUAGCUAAUACCGCAUACGAUCUAUGGAUGAAAGCGGGGGACCGUAAGGCCUCGCGCGAUUGGAGCGGCCGAUGUCAGAUUAGGUAGUUGGUGGGGUAAAGGCUCACCAAGCCAACGAUCUGUAGCUGGUCUGAGAGGACGACCAGCCACACUGGGACUGAGACACGGCCCAGACUCCUACGGGAGGCAGCAGUGGGGAAUUUUGGACAAUGGGCGCAAGCCUGAUCCAGCAAUGCCGCGUGCAGGAAGAAGGGCUUCGGGUUGUAAACUGCUUUUGUACGGAACGAAACGGCUCUGGUUAAUACCCGGGGCUAAUGACGGUACCGUAAGAAUAAGCACCGGCUAACUACGUG